AGAAUUAGAACUGUUAGGUACCAAAGCUGUUUUCAGCAUAGGUAGCCUGCGAAAAAAUCAGUGAGAUCGCACUCGAGAUUAAUUUUUUUUAAAUGGCACCUCUCCGAGAAAAAAAUUCCUUGCUUCCAAAAAAGUGUCAUUACGUAUAAUUCAUACGAGUAAUAAUCUUCAAUAGGUAAUGUAGGCUCACGUAAAAUUAUUUUCAUCUUGACAAUCAUAUUGAACGAAGAUUUCCGUAUCUUUUUUUUGCUACUAGGUACUAUUAAUGAAUCCAUUUCUUCUCCAGCUUCCGAGCACGCACCCGUUACAUUUAACCAAUCAUAUAAUUCGUAUUGUCGCUUCCACUCCAGCGUUACGAUCGAUAAAAUUUCAUUCGCGUGCUUGACAAGACCGACUCCAGCUUAUACUUGUUUUAGGAAGGGUGCGAUAUCAGCAGAGCAGAAACCGUGGAUCUUGGUGAACGCAGGACUGCUAGGUUAAUGGGGCAUUUUGAAGAGCAAUAAUCUGUCGCAUCUCCAUCUAUACGUUCCAUUCAAAAAUAAAUGCAAUCUUUCAAUAGUAUUUCGGUAUGAAACUUGAGAAUAUCCUAGAGCGGUAACUGGUAAUUUUCUCCAUCGAAAAAUGAAUAGUCUAAGUUAUAUACCUACAUAUGUAUGUACGUACAUGUAGGUACUAGGUACAUAGGCUACAUACUCAACUUGUGCAGAUUUUUAUUUCUUUACAGUGUUGUGAUAUUCGUGCAAGUGGUUUUUGAUAAAUUGGUAGACGAGUGGACGCCGCUGUUUUGAAACUGAAGAAUUAUUAUUAUAUAUGUGAUGAGCGUCGAAGAAAUCUAGAAAAAAAAGUGUUCGGUUAAUAUAACAUUAUUCAACGCAAUCCACAUUUCGAAACAAAUUAAUAUUAUAUCUUGAGAAGAUUUCUCGACUGAGCUGAUCAACUGAAAAAUCAGAUAAAACCGAAUAACAACGUACCUGUUGAAAAAAUUGCUGCAAAAGUUUCGCUCCUGAUUGAAUAAGAAUGCAUUGACAAACCCAAAACGAGAUGCUAAUAUUAAUAAAAGAGCAAAUUGAAAAAUAAGUGAAGAAAAUACUGAAUGUGAAAUCUUCAAUACGAAAACAGUAGCAAAUAGUGGUACUUAUGACUAAUGAUAUCGACAGAACGAAGAAUGUAAUUUUUUUCACCAUUCGUUGCACAUCAAUUUUAAUUUCCUUGCUCGCAUUCACGCAAUACAAAAGCUGGAAAAAAUAGAAUAAAAAUAGGAUAAUAUUUCAAAAAUGUCACGAUUUUAAUGUAAGCGUAUAAAAUAUAUUUACCUGAAAUUGA